UGAAGACUGAGCCCUAUGCUUUUUUUUUUUUUUUUUUUUUACCUGAGUAUUAAUUCAGUCUCUUCUGCGUGCUAGUUGCUGAGGAGAACGCAAAAGAAACGUAAAUGUGUGUUUUGGUCCCCCAGAAGAUCGCCAUCCAGCUCGGGGACAAAUGCACCGGAGACAAGUCAGAAGCAAAGGCAGUGCCCAGGGAAGUGGCAGAAUGAGGCACGAAUACAGGAGCCCAGGAAGGGAGAGACGGGCCACCUGGGGAGGCUGAGGACUUUGUCACAGAGGAGGUGGGGCUUGGGCGGGAGCCAGCAGGAUGGGCAGGAGUUCCCCAGCACCCAGCGGAACGGGACCCGGGAGGCGCUG
rnacentral:lncRNA from 1 species